rnacentral:rRNA from 1 species
CGCGUAGGCGGCCCGGCAGGCCGGGGGUCGAAGCGGGGGGCUCAACCCCCCGAAGCCCCCGGAACCUCCGCGGCUUGGGUCCGGUAGGGGGGGUGGAACACCCGGUGUAGCGGUGGAAUGCGCAGAUAUCGGGUGGAACACCGGUGGCAAAGGCGGCCCUCUGGGCCGAGACCGACGCUGAGGCGCGAAAGCUGGGGGAGCGAACA